AAGGAGAAUUGCCCUGCCAUUCGAUUCCACAGUUACUUGAAUGUGUCUAUUGCUCUUCAUGAAUAUCAUUAUGAUAUGAUAUCUCUUGCAAUUAUUUUUGGGUCAGAUUUUUAAUCUCCCUUGCAUAAAAAUAAUAUUUUAUUUUACUUUUUAGCAGGUAAUUUUGCCAAUGAGGUCCCAUUAAUAAUCAGCAAUGUAAGAAAAAUGCAGUAUGAAUCGAUGAGGGCUAGCACUAUCCGAUCAACUGGAAUAAAGGCUGCACAAGCUAUUAAUGUAAUGUUGUUUUGUUCUCUCAUUUUCUUGGGUUAUUUGCGUUGGAUAUGCUCCUGUUCUAGACUUGACCAUAUUUACAUCUUUAUCUUGUUCGCAUGCGCAUCAGCAGUUCUUGAGAAAGAGUUGACAUUCAGUGUGCUCUCUUCAACUAUAGGCACUGGAGACUGGAUAGAACCAUACACAGCCAGCUAAUGCUUUGGUACUGCCGGUGAUGAUUUCAUAGCUAGCUUAUCUACAGCUAUAUCUAUCUUACCAUUGAAACAAGCUCUUCAAAUUAAGGGAUAGUCAAAUCACAAAUGCGGACGUAGUUCUUGCUCAUAUUUCUUUGAGAUUUUACAGUGAUUGUACUGUUAUUGAAUAUUUAAUUUCCAGAUUCUUUUUAUAAUAAUUUUGUAUAUAGUUUUAUAAGUUAGCUAUUAAUAUCGUCUGUGUAUAUAUAUAUGUUGUACUUUUCUCACUCUCUCAAUAAAAAAAAUCAGCAAAAUAUUUUCUUCAUAUUUAUAAA
rnacentral:lncRNA from 1 species